AGCUCGGUGGUGUAAUGGUAGCACACGUUCCCGGUAUGGAUAAAACGCAGGUUUGACUCCCGUCUGAGGCG